ensembl:lncRNA
AUGAGGGGAGCCCGUAGGAUCCUGAGCUGCCUCCAUAGGAGCUUGAUCCCCCAUAGGACCCCGAUCCGCUGCCUCCUUGGGAUCCAGGUCUGCCUGAUCCCGAUCCUCCUUGGGAUCCAGGUCUUCCUGAUCCUAUUCCCCCUUGGGAUCCAGGUCUGCCUGAUCCCGAUCCCGAUCCACUUCCCCCUUGGGAUCCAGGUCUCCCCGAUCCCGAUCCCCCUUGGGAUCCAGGUCUUCCCAAUCCAUAGGGCAGAAGUCCAUAGGAUCCUGGUGGCCCACCAGAUUCCGGUGAGACAAAAGAUCCUGAUCCGUCCCCUUGGGAUCCCGGUCGGCUUCCAUAGGAUCCUGGUUUACCUCCACUGGAUUCCGGUGACACGUAGGACCCAGAUCCACUUCCUCGUCCCGGGGAUGGCCCCGAUACACCCCCAUAGGAUCCUGAUCCGCCCCCAUAGGAUCCUGAACUGCUCCCAUAGGAUCCGGAGUCACCGUAGGAUCCCGAUCCACCGCCAUGGGAUCCCGAUCCACCUUGGGAUCCCGGUCUGCCCCCAUAGGAUCCUGAUCCACCUUGGGAUCCCGGUCUGCCCCCAUAGGAUCCUGAGCUGCUCCCAUAGGAUCCGGAGUCACCGUAGGAUCCCGAUCCACCGCCAUGGGAUCCUGAUCCACCUUGGGAUCCCGGUCUGCCUCCAUAGGAUCCCAAUCCACCUUGGGAUCCUGGUCUGCCCCCAUAGGAUCCUGAGCUGCUCCCAUAGGAUCCGGAGUCACCGUAGGAUCCCGAUCCACCUUGGGAUCCCGGUCUGCCCCCAUAGGAUCCCGAACUGCUCCCAUAGGAUCCCAAUCCACCGCCAUGGGAUCCCGAUCCACCUUGGGAUCCCGGUCUGCCCCCAUAGGAUCCCGAACUGCUCCCAUAGGAUCCCGAUCCACCGCCAUGGGAUCCCAAUCCGCCAUAGGAUCCUGGUCCGCUGUAGGAUCCCGAGCUGCUCCCAUAGGAUCCUGGUCCACUGUAGGAUCCCACUCCCCCUCCGGAGGACCCCGCUGUGUCCCUCCCAGUUUGGGGGCUGAGGAAUCCAGUGGGUUCCUUGCAGGGAUCCACCCCGGCCAUCAGCGGGCUCAGAUGGGAUCCCGAGUCACAGUCGGAGGCAGCGCCUGGAGAAGUGGAAGGGAGCCUUCCCAGUUCAUCCCAGUCCAUCCCAGUUUGUUCCAGUCCAUCCCAGUUCAUGCCAGUCCAUCCCAGUUUGCUCCAGACCAUCCCAGUUUGUUCUAGUCCAUCCCAGUGCAUCCUAGUUUAUCCCAUCUCACCCCAGUCCAUCCCAGUCCAUCCCAGUCCACCCCAGUCCAUCCCAUCUCACCCCAGUCCAUUCCAGUCCAUCCCAGUUUAUCCCAGUACAUCUCAGUCCAUCCCAGAUCACCCCAGUUUAUCCCAGUCCAUCCCAGAUCACCCCAGUCCAUCCCAGUCCAUCCCAGAUCACCUCAGCCCAUCCCAGUUCACCCCAGCCCAUCCCAGUCCAUCCCAGUUCACCCCAGCCCAUCCCAGUCUAUCCCAGUCCAUCCCAUCUCACCCCAGUCUAUCCCAGUUUGUCCCAAUCCACCCCACUCCAUCCCAGUUCCUCCCAGUUCUCCCCCACUCCAUCCCAGUCCCUUCCAACUCUCCUCCAGCCCAUCCCAGUCCCUCCCAAUCCCCUCCCACUCCAUCCCAGUCCCUCCUAUUUCCCACCCCAGUCCCUCCCAGUUCUCCCAGUCCCUCCCAGUCCCUCACAACCCUCCCCCACU